GGACCCGCACAAGUAGUGGAGCAUGUGGUUUAAUUCGAAGAUACGCGCAGAACCUUACCAACACUUGACAUGUUCGUCGCGACUUUAAGAGAUUAGAGUUUUCGGUUCGGCCGGACGAAACACAGGUGCUGCAUGGCUGUCGUCAGCUCGUGUCGUGAGAUGUUGGGUUAAGUCCCGCAACGAGCGCAACCCUCACUUUUAGUUGCCAUCAUUAAGUUGGGCACUCUGAAAGAACUGCCAGUGAUAAGCUGGAGGAAGGUGGGGAUGACGUCAAGUCCUCAUGGCCCUUACGUGUUGGGCUACACACGUGCUACAAUGGUAUCUACAACAGGAAGCAAAACUGCGAGGUUAAGCAAAUCCUUAAAAGAUACCUCAGUUCGGAUUGCACUCUGCAACUCGAGUGCAUGAAGCUGGAAUUACUAGUAAUCGUGGAU
rnacentral:rRNA from 1 species